CCCCUCUCAGGAUUGCUCCUGGAGAGUUUCCAGUCCUCUACCAGUCUCAGCUAUAAAGGAAGAGUCAAGCAGAGGCCUGUCCAUUCCAUUCCUGGCUUGGGCAGUGGCUAGCGAGUGGAAGGCCACCUGCUACAAGU